rnacentral:piRNA from 1 species
CAGGUCCUCUUAACCUCGGAGGAGA